rnacentral:rRNA from 1 species
CAGCAGCCGCGGGAAUACGAAGGGUGCAAGCAUUAAUCGGAAUUACUGGGCGUAAAGCGUGCGUAGGCGGUGAGUUAAGUCUGCUGUGAAAUCCCCGGGCUCAACCUGGGAAUGGCAGUGGAUACUGGCUCGCUAGAGUGUGCCAGAGGAUGGUGGAAUUCCCGGUGUAGCGGUGAAAUGCGUUGAGAUCGGAAAGAACACCAACGGCGAAAGCACUCUGCUGGGCCGACACUGACACUGAGAGACGAAAGCUAGGGGAGCAAAUGGGAUUAGAUACCCGCGUAGUCCCUGUCUCUUAUAC